rnacentral:rRNA from 1 species
AGCGAACGCUGGCGGCAGGCCUAACACAUGCAAGUCGAACGAACUCUUCGGAGUUAGUGGCGGACGGGUGAGUAACACGUGGGAACGUGCCUUUUGGUUCGGAAUAACUCAGGGAAACUUGUGCUAAUACCGAAUGUGCCCUUCGGGGGAAGGAUUUAUCGCCAUUAGAGCGGCCCGCGUCUGAUUAGCUAGUUGGGGAGGUAACGGCUCACCAAGGCGACGAUAAGUAGCUGGUCUGAGAGGAUGACCAGCCACGCUGGGACUGAGACACGGCCCAGACUCCUGCGGGAGGCAGGAGUGGGGAAUCUUGCGCAAUGGGAGAAAGCCUGACGCAGCCAGGCCGCGUGAAUGAUGAAGGUCUUAGGAUUGUAAAAUUCUUUCACCGGGGACGAUAAUGACGGUACCCGGAGAAGAAGCCCCGGCUAACUUCGUG